rnacentral:rRNA from 1 species
AUACGUAGGUGGCAAGCGUUGUCCGGAAUUAUUGGGCGUAAAGCGCGCGCAGGCGGUCCUUUAAGUCUGAUGUGAAAGCCCACGGCUCAACCGUGGAGGGUCAUUGGAAGCUGGGGGACUUGAGUACAGAAGAGAAGAGUGGAAUUCCACGUGUAGCGGUGAAAUGCGUAGAGAUGUGGAGGAACACCAGUGGCGAAGGCGACUCUUUGGUCUGUAACUGACGCUGAGGCGCGAAAGCGUGGGGAGCAAACAGGAUUAGAUACCCUGGUAGUCCACGCUGUAAACGAUGAGUGCUAAGUGUUAGAGGGUUUCCGCCCUUUAGUGCUGCAGCUAACGCAUUAAGCACUCCGCCUGGGGAGUACGGCCGCAAGGCUGAA